GGAUACGUGCCUGAAUUAAAGGAUCACCUUGAUAGGGUGAACUACAGAGGUAAAUAAUCCUCUCGUCUCCU
rnacentral:tRNA from 1 species